AUAUUAUUACAUAAAACAGGCUGGUUUUUUUCUAGAUGUAGUGAAACUCCUGUUUUAGAAGUGCUAGUAAACAUGCUGUAAAUAACCCUGUCCAUCUCCUCAAAGGGAGCACUUUGCAGAAAGCUGUCAUUAGGAGUGGGGGCCGAAGACACCUGGAGAAACACAUUGUGUUGCUCAGAGUAGUUUUAUUCAUAUUGCAUAAGCAAGGGUAAGGGAAUAAAAAAUCCCUUGCCUCAAUCACUUUAUCCGUGCAUGGGAUUACAAAAUGGAAUUGAAAGUUGGAGGUUAUAAUGGGUAGAAGAGAAACAGCUGCUUUUAGACAGUGUUACUUAUUUGGUUUGGGGUUUUUUUGCAUUAUACAAGUGUCUUGUUCCAUCUUGUUAUUAAGUGAGGGAUCCAGACUUAUGGUGCAGUCUUUGCAAAGAUGAACAGAAAUGCAGUGGGGACUAAAUUUCUAUUCUUAAAAGGGCUUUUGCAGUCUUUUUGCCUAUUUGUCACUGAGUUUAUGGCUUAAAAAGAAAAAUUAAGGAUGUCAUUAAAAAAAAAAAAAGUGAGAGAAGAAGGGAAAAGGACAAUGUAACUAUUCAAUUUUAUAACUGGUCUGUUGGUUUAGAGAGACUUCUAUUUAAAUAUUUAAAGCCUGCUAGUCUCUGGUACUGUACUGCUACACAGCUGAGCUCCUAUUCUGUGAAGUACAUUUUUUGCUUACCUCUCUUCUUUUAAUGUGGCAGGAAUGGAGACCAUAUCCCUAGAGUAUUUGGAAAAGCAUUUAUAAGGGUCCCCUUAGAAUUACUCCCUACAUUUCUUCAUGGAUGUGGUCUCCUGGAAACUGGUUCAUGCUAUGUAACUGAGCCCAGCGUGUUCUAUGUUUCCAUGUAAAAAAUGCAAGGAGGAAGAGGUAUGUCCGAGGAAAUGACAAAGGCAUUUGCAAGGAGUGGGAAAAGAGACCCUGAAGAGUCUUUAUAAUUGUACCCCUCUAGGGUAGAGAGGGAAAGAGUUGGGCGCUUGUGCCUUGUGCUCCUCCAGCAAGUUUUUAAAAGAAGCCAUUUCAGGGUCAGUAAGAAGCAGAGGGGCUUCCUCCUUUUCUGUUGUUCAGGUUUCAUUGUGGCAGCUGACAGGAUGCUGCAAGCAACAUCAGCUGUUGCUUUUCUAGUCAGCCUAGAAGAAGACAUAAUUGUGGCAAGUGGGAGAAAUGAGCAACUUGAGAGGAUCUUGUAGGCAAGCAUGAGAUCCUGGAGAUGAGGCCAUCUUCUGCAGCAUCACAGAGAGUUGUUCUCCUACAGCUGAGACUCAUUGCAUUGAAGAAGGAGAUUCCAUUCAGAAGAUGGAAUAUCUGCGAGGUACAUGUACACCAAAUCCUGAAGCUUGAAAUUCCCCUGUGUUGCCCAACUUGGAAAGGAUAAAUUUUAUGGCAUAGGUGCUUCAUUUGCAUGAUUCUUGUGGGUAUGUUUGAUCAACCAAAGUGAAUUUGAAAAGAAAUGACAGACUUCCUUGAAGCGGCCUUCAAAAUAAAAAAGAUUGCAUUUCUGAAUGCAUGGAAAUUAUGAGAAAACACAAAAAGGGGUCUGUUCAUGGUGGGAUGAAAAUUCUCUGAGUCAUAAAGGCAUCCUCACAGCUGGGCUGGAUUUGGCAGUCUCAAUGCAACAGAGGAAGGAAAACCAAACUGCUUCCUCAGAGGCAGUCCCUGAGGUCAGGCUAUGGAUGAAGCCAGCUGGCUGGGCAGCACUGGGGGCUGCAGUUUCAUUGCUGUUGACACAGCUUGUCUCAGACACAUCAAACUGGCUUGUGACAGUGGGAUCAAGAGCACCCUUGACAAGUUUGUAGGUGACAUGAAACUAAGUGGUGCAGUUGACACAACAGAAGGAUGGAAUGCCAUCCAAAGGAACCUAGACAAAUUUGAAAAGUGGGCCCACGAGGGACUCAUGAAGUUCAAGUCCAAGUGCAAUGGGCUGCACUUGGGUUGAGGCAAUCUGAGAUGUGACUGAGAGUAGAAGUAAUCAACAACAGCCCUGCAGAGAAAGAGCUGGGGUUCUACUGGAUGAAAAGCUGGACAUGAGCCAACAGUGAGCCCUCACAGCCCAGGAAGCCAAGUGCAUCCUGGGCUGCAUCAAAAGAGGGGCGGCCACCAGGUCGAGGGAGGUCAUGCUUUCCUCUACUCUGUCCUCUUGUGACCCCACCUGGAGCACUGCAUUCAGAUUUGGGGUCUUCAACAUAAGAAAGACAUUUAUCUGUUAAAAGAGGUUCAGAGAAGGACUAUGAUGGUGAUCAGAUGUGGGAGUAUCUCUCCUAUGACGACAGGCUGAAUGAAAGAGAUUUUGCCCUGGUCAGUGAUAUGGCAGGUUUUAUGUUUGUAACCCUGAAGUGUGCUGCCCAUGGGAGGACAAUGUGAUUUCUGCCCCCUCUGCCCCAGAGCACACAGGAUCUGCCUGAUCUUCACUUAAGGUGAAAAAACCUCUAUGCCUGAUUGCAAGCAGCUUGCUCCCACAUUUUCAAUAUAUAAUGAUAUCAAAGGUGCUAUCUUUCAGUACAAAGUCUCUGAAGCAGCUGAUGCAAUGUGGUCUGCUGUGGUAAAGAACAUCAUAGUCCUCCAAAGUAUGCUUAAUGAAAGCAAAAAUAAAAAGGACUAUUUACUUACUGGGAAAAAAUGUUUCUACAAUUUUAAAGGUUUAUUGUUGUGCAUCUGUGUGAACAAACAAAGCACCAGAGACGAGCAGCAGGUGUUAAGAGUCACCGGUUGAAUUUAAGCAUGUUAAUACUGGCCACUGCGGCAUCAAACUAUGGGUAUGGAAGUGCCCACAAGCAAUUCACACACCAUUUUUUGGCAUUUGACCUCCUAUAAUGAAGGAAAGUGAAAAACUGAAGGGAUUUACAGAAGCUAAUGAGCUGAGGGGAAAGAUACUUUGAAACAGCAGCUGGUGAAGACAGACUCUGAAUUACCUCUCAAUGCUUGGAGAACUUAGAUGUCUAAUGCUGCACUGGACAUAGGUGCUUAUUUUAAUUUGGCUGUUACAAGCCUUAACUUCUCCUGAAUUAGAACAUAAAUCUUACAGUCACAGCUUUAUUUCUACCACUGUACCAUUUCUACACUGCUUCAUAACUGUCCUGUAGCAUAAUGUUUCUUACACUGGUUCUUGGAAGAGAAUUUCUGCUUCAGCAAUGAUCUGAUCAUUUGUUAACUGCAAACUUCUUAACGA